rnacentral:rRNA from 1 species
AGAGUUUGGAUCCUGGCUCAGGAUGAACGCUAGCGGCAGGCUUAACACAUGCAAGUCGAGGGGUAACAGGGAUUGCUUGCAAUCCGCUGACGACCGGCGCACGGGUGCGUAACGCGUAUAGAACCUACCUUAUAUUGGGGGAUAGCCCAGAGAAAUUUGGAUUAAUACCCCAUAGUAUGCUGAAGUGGCAUCGCUUUAGUAUUAAAGAUUUAUCGAUAUAAGAUGGCUAUGCGUUCUAUUAGCUAGUUGGUAUGGUAACGGCAUACCAAGGCUACGAUAGAUAGGGGUCCUGAGAGGGAGAUCCCCCACACUGGUACUGAGACACGGACCAGACUCCUACGGGAGGCAGCAGUGAGGAAUAUUGGACAAUGGAGGUAACUCUGAUCCAGCCAUGCCGCGUGCAGGAAGACUGCCCUAUGGGUUGUAAACUGCUUUUAUAGAGGAAGAAACCCCCCGACGUGUCGGGGUCUGACGGUACUCUACGAANUAAGGAUCGGCUAACUCCGUGCCAGCAGCCGCGGUAAUACGGAGGAUCCAAGCGUUAUCCGGAAUCAUUGGGUUUAAAGGGUCCGUAGGCGGAUUUGUAAGUCAGUGGUGAAAGUUUGCGGCUCAACCGUAAAAUUGCCAUUGAUACUGCAAGUCUUGAAUCAUUGUGAAGUGGUUAGAAUAUGUAGUGUAGCGGUGAAAUGCAUAGAUAUUACAUAGAAUACCGAUUGCGAAGGCAGAUCACUAACAAUGUAUUGACGCUAAGGGACGAAAGCGUGGGUAGCGAACAGGAUUAGAUACCCUGGUAGUCCACGCCGUAAACGAUGGUCACUAGCUGUUUGGUUUUCGGACUGAGUGGCUAAGCGAAAGUGAUAAGUGACCCACCUGGGGAGUACGUUCGCAAGAAUGAAACUCAAAGGAAUUGACGGGGGCCCGCACAAGCGGUGGAGCAUGUGGUUUAAUUCGAUGAUACGCGAGGAACCUUACCAGGGCUUAAAUGUAGUCUGACAGCUUUAGAGAUAGAGUUUUCUUCGGACAGAUUACAAGGUGCUGCAUGGUUGUCGUCAGCUCGUGCCGUGAGGUGUCAGGUUAAGUCCUAUAACGAGCGCAACCCCUGUUGUUAGUUGCCAUCGAGUAAUGUCGGGAACUCUAGCAAGACUGCCGGUGCAAACCGCGAGGAAGGUGGGGAUGACGUCAAAUCAUCACGGCCCUUACGUCCUGGGCCACACACGUGCUACAAUGGUAGGUACAGAGAGCAGCCACUUGGUGACAAGGAGCGAAUCUAUAAAGCCUAUCACAGUUCGGAUCGGAGUCUGCAACUCGACUCCGUGAAGCUGGAAUCGCUAGUAAUCGGAUAUCAGCCAUGAUCCGGUGAAUACGUUCCCGGGCCUUGUACACACCGCCCGUCAAGCCAUGGAAGCUGGGGGUACCUGAAGUCCGUCACCGCAAGGAGCGGCCUAGGGUAAAACUAGUAACUGGGGCUAAGUCGUAACAAGGUAGCCGUACCGGAAGGUGCGGCUGG